rnacentral:rRNA from 1 species
UACGUAGGGUGCGAGCGUUAAUCGGAAUUACUGGGCGUAAAGCGUGCGCAGGCGGUUUUGUAAGCCAGAUGUGAAAUCCCCGGGCUUAACCUGGGAACUGCAUCUUAAACUGUAGGGCUGGAGUACUGUAGAGGAUAGUGGAAUUUCCGGUGUAGCGGUGAAAUGCGUAGAGAUCGGAAGGAACACCAGUGGCGAAGGCGACUGUCUGGACAGAUACUGACGCUGAGGCGCGAAAGCGUGGGGAGCAAACAGG